rnacentral:rRNA from 1 species
UACGUAGGGGGCGAGCGUUGUCCGGAAUCAUUGGGCGUAAAGCGCGCGCAGGCGGUCCCUUAAGUCUGAUGUGAAAUCUUGCGGCUCAACCGCAAGGGGUCAUUGGAAACUGGGGGACUUGAGUGCAGGAGAGGGAAGCGGAAUUCCAUGUGUAGCGGUGAAAUGCGUAGAGAUAUGGAGGAACACCAGUGGCGAAGGCGGCUUCCUGGCCUGUAACUGACGCUCAGGCGCGAAAGCGUGGGGAGCAAACAGG